GACGAACGCUGGCGGCGUGCUUAACACAUGCCAGUCGAACGGAAAGGCCCCUUUGGGGGUACUCGAGUGGCGAACGGGUGAGUAACACGUGAGUAACCUGCCCUUGACUUCGGGAUAACUUCAGGAAACUGGGGCUAAUACCGGAUAGGAAUCCUUGCUGCAUGGUGGGGGUUGGAAAGCUUCGGCGGUUUUGGAUGGACUCGCGGCUUAUCAGCUUGUUGGUGGGGUAGUGGCUUACCAAGGCUUUGACGGGUAGCCGGCCUGAGAGGGCGACCGGCCACAUUGGGACUGAGAUACGGCCCAGACUCCUACGGGAGGCAGCAGUGGGGAAUAUUGCACAAUGGGCGGAAGCCUGAUGCAGCAACGCCGCAUGCGGGAUGACGGCCUUCGGGUUGUAAACCGCUUUCAGCAGGGGCGAAGCUUUUGUGACGGUACCUGCAGAAGAAGCACCGGCUAACUACGUG
rnacentral:rRNA from 1 species